rnacentral:rRNA from 1 species
UACGUAGGGUGCAAGCGUUGUCCGGAAUUAUUGGGCGUAAAGAGCUCGUAGGCGGUUUGUCGCGUCUGCUGUGAAAACCCGAGGCUCAACCUCGGGCCUGCAGUGGGUACGGGCAGACUAGAGUGCGGUAGGGGAGAUUGGAAUUCCUGGUGUAGCGGUGGAAUGCGCAGAUAUCAGGAGGAACACCGAUUGCGAAGGCAGCUCGCUGGAACGUAACUGACGCUGAGACGCGAAAGCGUGGGGAGCAAACAGG